rnacentral:rRNA from 1 species
CCUACGGGGUGCAGCAGUGGGGGAUAUUGCACAAUGGGGGAAACCCUGAUGCAGCGACGCCGCGUGUGGGAAGACGGUCUUCUGGAUUGUAAACCACUGUCCCCAGGGACGAAAAUGACGGUACCUGGGGAGGAAGCUCCGGCUAACUACGUGCCAGCAGCCGCGGUAAUACGUAGGGAGCAAGCGUUGUCCGGAAUUACUGGGUGUAAAGGGAGCGUAGGCGGGGAUGCAAGUUGGGUGUCAAAACUACCGGCUCAACCGAUAGUCGCACUCAAAACUGCAACUCUUGAGUGAAGUAGAGGCAGGCGGAAUUCCUAGUGUAGCGGUGAAAUGCGUAGAUAUUAGGAGGAACACCAGUGGCGAAAGCGGCCUGCUGGGCUUUUACUGACGCUGAGGCUCGAAAGUGUGGGGAGCAAACAGGAUUAGAUACCCUAGUAGUC